AGAGUUUGAUCUUGGCUCAGAAUGAACGCUGGCGGCGUGCCUUACACAUGCAAGUCGAGCGAGGAGACCCGCAAGGGUCAUUCGAGCGGCGAACGGGUGAGUAACACGUGGAUAACCUACCCAGAGGUGGGGGAUAACCCGGGGAAACUCGGGCUAAUACCGCAUGAUACCGAGAGGUCAAAGGGGCGGCUCGCAAGAGCGUCUCGCCAUUGGAGGGGUCCGCGUCCGAUUAGCUAGUUGGUAGGGUAAUGGCCUACCAAGGCGACGAUCGGUAGCCGGCCUGAGAGGGUGAUCGGCCACACUGGAACUGAGACACGGUCCAGACUCCUACGGGAGGCAGCAGUGGGGAAUUUUGCGCAAUGGGCUAACGCCUGACGCAGCAACGCCGCGUGGAGGAUGAAGGUCUUUGGAUUGUAAACUCCUGUCAGCAGGGAAAAAGCGACUUGGCCUAAUACGCCAGGGAGUUGAUUGUACCUGCAGAGGAAGCCCCGGCUAACUCUGUGCCAGCAGCCGCCGCA
rnacentral:rRNA from 1 species